CGGAUGUACCCAAUUGGAUUAAGGAAGU
rnacentral:tRNA from 1 species